rnacentral:rRNA from 1 species
CAGCAGCCGCGGUAAUACGUAGGGCACAAGCGUUGUCCGGAAUUAUUGGGCGUAAAGAGCUCGUAGGCGGUCUGUCGCGUCUGGUGUGAAAUCCCGAGGCUCAACCUCGGGCUUGCAUCGGGUACGGGCAGACUAGAGUGCGGUAGGGGAGACUGGAAUUCCUGGUGUAGCGGUGGAAUGCGCAGAUAUCAGGAGGAACACCGAUGGCGAAGGCAGGUCUCUGGGCCGCAACUGACGCUGAGGAGCGAAAGCAUGGGGAGCGAACAGGAUUAGAUACCCCUGUAGUCCCUGUCUCUUAUAC